UCAGUCCUGCUGAUUCUAAGUCCAGCACUCAUCUUCUAUCUUCUAAUCUUUUUUAGUAAAUCAUUUCAGAUGAGUGUGCACAAAGACACUUGUGCGUGAAGGAGAUUUAAGUGGAAGAGUCGAUGCACAGAGACAGUCCCACUCUCCGCAUUGGAAGCCUGGGUCCAGUGGCACGAAAGGUCGUUACACCUGGAGACUUCCUCAGCUGCAUUGGAUGGCGGUGUUGUCUUUUGUGCUCCAACAUGCCCUGAGCACUCCACAGUGCCUUGCUGCAUCGCCCUCUCAGCCGUUGAACCUUCUUGUUGGUUUCUUCCACCUGUUCCGCCGAAGCAGUCUUCACAAGCUGGCACUUGACUUUUGAAGAGGAAAAUAUAUUUGAAUCUUAGAAGUAUCCCUCCAUCAUUUUGGACAUUUCAACAUGGACAAAAAAAUGAGACUUCUUCACCCUUGAGAUAAUUAUGAUUACUACUUUCCUCUUCUCCAGCAAUUCAACAAAUAUGAAUUAAAUCUCUUCUAUAUGCAAAGAACUAUGGCGCUUGAUAAUAAGUAUGUG
rnacentral:lncRNA from 1 species